GAUGAACGCUGGCGGCGUGCCUAAUACAUGCAAGUCGAGCGAACGGACGAGAAGCUUGCUUUUCUGAUGUUAGCGGCGGACGGGUGAGUAACACGUGGAUAACCUACCUAUAAGACUGGGAUAACUUCGGGAAACCGGAGCUAAUACCGGAUAAUAUUUUGAACCGCAUGGUUCAAAAGUGAAAGACGGUCUUGCUGUCACUUAUAGAUGGAUCCGCGCUGCAUUAGCUAGUUGGUAAGGUAACGGCUUACCAAGGCAACGAUGCAUAGCCGACCUGAGAGGGUGAUCGGCCACACUGGAACUGAGACACGGUCCAGACUCCUACGGGAGGCAGCAGUAGGGAAUCUUCCGCAAUGGGCGAAAGCCUGACGGAGCCACGCCGCGUGAGUGAUGAAGGUCUUCGGAUCGUAAAACUCUGUUAUUAGGGAAGAACAUAUGUGUAAGUAACUGUUCACAUCUUGACGGUACCUAAUCAGAAAGCCACGGCUAACUACGUG
rnacentral:rRNA from 1 species